GCUAAUUCAAUGCAUGCUUUCUUUACCCUUUAAACUGAUCACUUCGGAUUUUAUUUAAGGCAAGAAAUAUGAUGGUUUUUACAAGUACAUUCUUCAGUCAAGUUCAACUCAGUGGUCCACAGGGGAGCUAUCUUUGUUGUCCAAGCUAUUAAGAUACAUUUAUGAGCCAGCAUCAGUAAAUAAAGAAAGCAAGCUGCAUCUGUCCCCCAGCACUUGAGGUCACUGAGCAAUUCCAAAACCGGCCAAAUUCUCAGAGGACAUGUCUUUUGAGCAACACAGGAGAUAGAUGGUGUCAGCCCAUGCUCUUCUAUGCUAUUAAUGUAAUAGCAGCCACUUAUAUCAUUUCUUGGUGAAAAAGCUACCAGCUAUGGACCUCUUCCAGCCACAAGAAUUUGCUGAUCUCAUGGGAAAAGGUACAACUGUAAAUCUGACAGUUAUAAAAAGGCAGGAUACAUCCAUCAUUACAGAAAAUCAGCUACAGGCAUUUCGGAAUUCAACUUUUAUUAGAAGUGUUUAAAUAUUCAAUAAAAUGUAAUUUUUAAACUUUAUUCACACGCAUGCCAUGUAAUCC
rnacentral:lncRNA from 1 species